AUCUCUUUCUCUCUCUUGCCGUCUCGCGAGUCGCGAGUCUUCUUCCUCUUUCUCUCUAUCUUCUUCUUCCUCUGAUUCUCUUCAUCAUCUUCUUCUUCCUCUGAUUCUCUUCAUUAUCCUCUUCUUCCUCAUCAAAUUUGUGCUGAGAAAUCGGUCACUGCUACGGUUGAUACACUGCUUCAAGGCUCCUGACCAAAAUUCUGUCAAGGUCCUGAUCACUGCUACGGUUGAUACACUGUUACAAGUCUAUCUUCAGCUUCAAGGCCCCUGACCAAGUUGAUCAGAUCAUAUCAACAUGUUCUCAACGAGUUACAAACAAGCAAAAAAUCAGUGGAUUAAGGUUGGGACGAAGCUCUUUGUUUUUAAAGAUCCAGUGGAAGUAGGAGACAACUUUGAUUCAUGCCUAGGGUUUUAUGACCCUGGGAAAAAAUUGAUGGUGAAGCGGAUGUUGAUCUCUGAUGAGAGCUUAGAAAGAAUGGAAAGAGAAUACAAGUGGAUGGAAGCCUGGGAAAAACACCAAAACAUUCUGGAUUGGGUGUCUUUGGAUCAAGAUGACAGAUAUUUGUACCUGUCUCAAGAGAGAUGGAGUUUCACUUUAGAGAAUCUGGUGAAUUUCCUUUACAGCCUAGACACAACAAGUCCACUAGAACCUCCUAAAGCUCUUGAUGUGUUUAUCCAGAAGAAUCGUGUGAAGCUUAACAAAGUGUAUAUUGAUGGUCUGAUGGUUGAUUUGAUGAAAGAUGUUGGUAAAGGAUUGACCCAUCUUCAUCAAAUGGGUUUUGUUCAUCGAGAUUUGAGGCCACAAAAUAUAGUUAUAGUGUGUGGAACCAAAUCUAUGAGUGCAAAGAUUGCCAACUUCUGCUUCACCGAAGAUAGCAAGUUGAACUCUAAAGAGAGAUCUAAACUCAAAAAAAUAUGCAAGUCUGAGACGGAUUUUCAACCUGCGGAACAGAAGCAGAACUAUUCGAGAAGGCAGUUGUGUAAGGUUACCGAUGACAAGUGAGAAAAACUGGUCCAUUUAUGUUAAGUCAGAUGCAACAGAAUCUUAUGCAGAUUGUAGGAAGACAUUGUAACUGGGAGAAGAUGAUUGAUUCUCGGGUUGUCACUCACAUGAAGAACGACCAUCAAAAGAAAACAGGAAACCUAGUCCCUCCGAAUCAUUUUGAACGUGUUUGGACAUUGAUAAGGUUACUCCGAAACCAGUAUACUCACUUCUUCGAACUUUCUCCAAACAUCCAGGCAAUUUAUAGUGGGACACUUGAAGGAAUGCUGGAAUAUUACAGUGGGAGAUUUCCUACAUUGCUGAAAAUUGUCUAUAUGGAAUUCGGUUUAAUGCAAGAUGCAGCUUUUAAAGAGUUCAAGACAAAGUACUAUAGUUGAAAUAGAGUCUUCCUCUUCAUAUGUUGCAGACUCUUGUUCUGGUUUUUCCUUGCGGAAACCUUCUUUUUCUCAAGUCGACAGCUUUACCACAUUUCUUCAACUGUCGUUGGUGAAUGUUCUUUUUUUUUUCCUUGUUUCUCAGCGUCCUCCUCAAGUUUUAUGUUCAUGCCAUUGAGGGUUUUUACUUUAUCUUUACUUUGUGAGCUUGAGAUAUUAAUACUAUUUCCCGCAUAAUUGAAUUCCCUCUAAUAAUUA